UCAGCAAUUGACACAGGGACCUGUUCAAUAGGUGAAAACUUCAAAAGUGAACCUGACUAAGGUAUGUCCAAUUGUGCAAAGCAAAUUGACAUCAAGCUGAAAGGCACUGAAAAAGCAUAAGGAAUGAUAGGACUCCAUCCAACACCAUGUCCACCUGACUUGUCAUCCGGUCUUCGAAAGUCCAGGAACUCUCCCUGCUAGGAGGCCUUGUUUCACCACAGCAGAUCCCUCUCCAGGAAAACCAAGCAGGACUGAUGAAAUCAAAGAGACUCCAGAUACAAUAGUUGACCUCCUAUU